rnacentral:rRNA from 1 species
CGCACGAAAGGCGUAACGAUUUGGGCACUGUCUCAACAACAGACUCGGUGAAAUUGUAAUUCCGGUGAAGAUGCCGGAUACCUGCGACAGGACGGAAAGACCCCAUGGAGCUUUACUGUAGCUUGACCUUGGGUCUUGGUACUACAUGUACAGGAUAGGUGGGAGGCUUUGAAACCAGGACGCCAGUUUUGGCGGAGCCAUCCUUGGGAUACCACCCUUGUAGUACUGGGACUCUAACCAUAGGCCAUGAAUCUGGUCUUGGGACACUGUCAGGUGGGCAGUUUGACUGGGGCGGUCGCCUCCCAAAAGGUAACGGAGGCGCUCAAAGGUUCUCUCAGUACGGUCGGAAAUCGUACGUAGAGUGUAAAGGCAAAAGAGAGCUUGAUUGCAAGACAUACAGGUCGAGCAAGGAUGAAAAUCGGACUUAGUGAUCCGGUGGUUCUGCGUGGAAGGGCCAUCGCUCAACGGAUAAAAGCUACCCUGGGGAUAACAGGCUUAUCU